UACAGAGGUCUCAAGCGUUGUUCGGAUUCAUUGGGCGUAAAGGGUGUGUAGGUGGCGCCGUAAGUCGGGUGUGAAAUUUCGGAGCUUAACUCCGAAACUGCAUUCGAUACUGCGGUGCUUGAGGACUGGAGAGGAGACUGGAAUUCAUGGUGUAGCAGUGAAAUGCGUAGAGAUCAUGAGGAAGACCAGUGGCGAAGGCGGGUCUCUGGACAGUUCCUGACGCUGAGGCACGAAGGUCAGGGGAGCAAAACGGG
rnacentral:rRNA from 1 species